rnacentral:tRNA from 1 species
GGAGGGCAGCGCCACGGCGGCGAAGCGGCUUCGAAACCCGUGCCGGGCACCACGACCCGAAGGUUCAAUUCCUUUGCCCUCCG